UACGUAGGGUGCAAGCGUUGUCCGGAAUUAUUGGGCGUAAAGGGCUCGUAGGCGGUCCGUCACGUCGGGAGUGAAAACUUGGGGCUUAACCCCAAGCCUGCUUCCGAUACGGGCGGACUAGAGGUAGGCAGGGGAGAACGGAAUUCCUGGUGUAGCGGUGAAAUGCGCAGAUAUCAGGAGGAACACCGGUGGCGAAGGCGGUUCUCUGGGCCUUACCUGACGCUGAGGAGCGAAAGCAUGGGGAGCGAACAGG
rnacentral:rRNA from 1 species